GGAUCGUAUAUAUUGUCUUUUCCAAACAACAUUACUUUACAACCUCACUUUUCUAAACCCUAGCCUCCCUCUCAUUCAACCUGUACUGGAUCCAUCAUCGUCUUCCCCAAAUGAUUCACCAAACAGAAAUUAUAUCGGUAUAUAUCACUCAUACUACCGGUAUCGUGAUGACAAGCCAUAAUUUGAACCGAUAUUGUUCUCUGGGUCUGGCAAUUGAUAUCUUCAAUCGAGUCACUGUUCGUUCGCUCUCUGGUAUUCUUUAUCCUCUUUUCGAUUUCACCAUUGUUUUGUGUUCGUUAUGUUAAUUUCAUCACAAACCAGGUUGUUUUCGUUUCUGUUUCGGCUGUGUUGUGUAGGCCGUAGAUCUGGCUUCUAUGGUUUCUGGAAUGUGAUUUACAUCUGGUUUCUAAAGACACAAAACAUACUGGUACAUUGUUUUAAAAUGGUUGGUUUUUAGGAUUUUAGGGUGGUGUGUUUUGUAUCGAGAAGAUGGUAAUCUUGUGUUCUUUUUUAUUUCUUUUUAGUUUGUUUAUCUUAGGACUUGCAAUUACGCAUUUAUUUUAAAUAUUAUUCUUAAUGCGUUCAAGUGUAAACUGCUUUUGAAAAUGAUUGAGAAUUAAUGUUCAGUAAGAAUAGUCUUAAGAGUGGUUAGUGGGUGUUGAAUGAUUAAAGACUCCCGAUGUGUGGUAAAUCCAAGAUUUAAGGCCAAUUUUAUAUUGUUUGUUUGUUUGUCUCUGAAAUGGAGUUAAAAACUAUGUGCAAGGUUAGUGUUUUGAUCAUUAAGAAGGUGAAAAUAUGAAUCAAUGAGUGAGCAAUGGUGGUGGCCAGAGUUCUUUGAGCUAUUUGUUUUGAUAGUGAUGAAGCACCAAAUCCAUCCCAAAAGGCUAAACAAUUUGCUCCAUCUGUAACACCAGUAACAAACAAUGUGACAGCUGCAAAAAUCGAUGUUACUAAGCACAUUCCUGUUAGUAUUCAUGGUCAGUACAGAAAGCUUAGCAACGGGAGAGAAUCAUGAUCUUCAAUCAUUCAUCUUAGUGGGUAAGUGUUCCUAACCCAAGAACCAUAGAAUCCAGUAGGGUUGCUCCCAUGUUUGUUGUGGGUGUCAAAAAGAGGGAAUACGCCUCAGAUCUUCACAUCAUUUUAAACACCAACUGGACCACCAACUGUUUUGCUCUUCUCACCAAGGUUUUUGUUUGCUAACAGUAACCAAAUCAUUGUUUUCUUACUUCAAAUUUGACUCACCUAAUACCAUGUGGGUGCAAGUUAUAAACUUUUGACUCACUUAAUACCAUGGGUUGAAGGUAAAUAUGACUAUUCAGAUAUCUAAGUCUUUCGAACACUUUUUGAUUCUUUUACCAUCAGAUCUGCUAAUUUUCUUCAUGCUUAAAAAAAUUGACAUUAUAUUUUUUUGUGAUUUAUGGUUUCUUUCUGGCCGAUCAGUAUGUGUACUCGAAAUCCAUGAAAUUUGCUUUUUUUUGGUUGCGAUUGACUUUUGUAAUAAUAACUUGUAGGCUGAUGAUCAAACUCCAUGUUGUGGUUGUUAGGUUUAUUAUUUAUCUAAUUAAAUGGAUGCAUUCAAAUUGGAAGCAUUCGUAAUUCUUUGCUUUUGGUUGAAGAAACUGACACCAAUUGGCUAGCCGAUGUGAAAUUGUGCACGUCUCGCUAAUUAAAUUUUGCUUGGUCUUGCCGAAUUAUAUAUGGCACAACAAGGUGACCUCAAUGAGAAGACAGGAGCAAAAAUAAUUAACUGGCCCAUUGCCCCUGCUCAUGCUCCAACCUCCAACAAUGGAUGAUCAUCAGUCUGAUCUCGAUAACUAAGAGGCAUUCAACCGGAUAUAAGUGCAUUCAACCGGAUAUAAGGGCAUUCAAUGGAACAAAUUUUGAUGUAAAGAGCCCCUUUUUUUUCUACUGGUACAUUAUUGUUUCAUUUUAUUUUGUUGUUCAGGAACAUCUCAGUUGAGUAUCUAUAUGAAUGGUAGUUUCAAGAGGAAAACCUAUAAAAUACUGGCAAAUACGAUGGGCCAUUGAGGUUGUGUAACGGGUCAAAGUGGGUUGGCGUGAUGUUACAAUUUGGGUGACGUUUAAACCAUGUGGGGUUGAAGUGUUACUAAUUUAACCUUUUCAAUUUCAAUCAUGUAAUAUGCCAAUUUGUUUGUUUGAUUGAAAUUAUGUAUUAAUUGUUAUUAUAAUUAAUAUAAAUAACUUGCUUCUAA